rnacentral:sRNA from 1 species
CGGGUACUGCCCGGUGCGAACCGACAGAAUAUCCCUGAGGCUAUAAGCAAUCCAUGGGGGCUGUCCCUGGUCGGGCCGCUGUUUCGCGCAGAGGUCCGGCACACAUGGUCCCCACCUGACGUUUGAGGCGUCAGAGGAUUUCCCCGGCAACGGCCCAUGGCGGUCCCGUC